rnacentral:rRNA from 1 species
AUUGAACGCUGGCGGCAUGCCUUACACAUGCAAGUCGAACGGCAGCACGGGAGCAAUCCUGGUGGCGAGUGGCGAACGGGUGAGUAAUAUAUCGGAACGUGCCCAGUCGUGGGGGAUAACGCAGCGAAAGCUGUGCUAAUACCGCAUACGACCUAAGGAUGAAAGCGGGGGAUCGCAAGACCUCGCGCGAUUGGAGCGGCCGAUAUCUGAUUAGCUAGUUGGUGGGGUAAAGGCCCACCAAGGCGACGAUCUGUAGCUGGUCUGAGAGGACGACCAGCCACACUGGAACUGAGACACGGUCCAGACUCCUACGGGAGGCAGCAGUGGGGAAUUUUGGACAAUGGGCGCAAGCCUGAUCCAGCAAUGCCGCGUGCAGGAUGAAGGCCUUCGGGUUGUAAACUGCUUUUGUACGGAACGAAACGGCCCUUUCUAAUACAGGGGGCUAAUGACGGUACCGUAAGAAUAAGCACCGGCUAACUACGUGCCAGCAGCCGCGGUAAUAC